CGACACUGCCCAGGCAGCAAAGGAAAGCACAACCACGAUGUUGAACACACAGAGGAGACCCCACAUCAGUUACUCACACAGAUGCUGCCAGGGAUCCAGCUGCUUCACACUGUGCAGAGUGCAUAUCCAGAUGUUCUGUCAAAGUGUUUGUUUCAGCCAGAUGGUGGAAGAGUUGUGCGAUGCUACUAUGUGCAUGGAAGAAGGAGAAACAGGAAUAUUUGUGACCAGCCUUAUUGAUUACUGCGGAGAGGCGAGUUGGUCCCUAGAGCUGCCUCAGAUUCUACAGGCCAAGAUUCCACAAGCCCCUGCCAUACUGUGAUCCUGGUUUGUACUCACCCAUGACCGCUCUCACUCUUACUGCCCACACAUGUCUUGCAAUGCCCACCACCUCUGCACACAUUCACAUAUCUCUUGCAACUUAAGACAUGGCUCCUUAGGCUUCUUACUUCCUUUGAAUGCUCCUUUCCCAACUGAGGACUCCCUCCCUCCAAAGUCCUAAUGCCAGCAC